GGUUUGCUCCUUUUGGUCGAGCCGAAGCAAGAAUGCGAACACCGUGAUGAAGAGGAAGAUGCCAGAAUGAAUAGUAUCAUCAUGAUUCAAGUUUUAUCCGGUUUUUGUUUGUAGUUGCUCAACUGCGGUGCAUUUCGAUUCAAUUUAGUGAAGCUUAUGGAGUUGAAUUCUCUCAUAGUUCUCGGUAAGGAUGAAUGGCGAAUUCAAGGAUUUUGCGUCAAAGCUUAGCGUGUGUUAGAUUUCAAUGGACUCAGAAAGCGAGAGCUUGAGCAUUUUGAAGUGAUGACGAAGACGAUGAUGGACGCGAUCCAAACAACGUGAUGACGUUUAAGCUCGUUCCAAAUUUGUUUCCGUUUGGUUAAUAUUUUUUAUGAGUGUUUGGAUAUUAAAUAUAGAAAUUACGAAAAGUGUUUGGAUAUUGAAGGUUAAAGUGAUGAAAAGGUGAAACGGUGGAGUUGAAUGGUGCAUCGCCUUUGUUUAUAUUGUGAGUUGUUGGACUGGAUGACCAUGUGACGCUUGGGCUUAAGGCCCAAGCAUACUCCAUUUGCUCUCGCACCUGUUCCAUGA